GUCUUCUUCUCGUCCGCGGAAUCAAGCGCCGCCCCUCCUAGCCGUCCCAGGCCACCGGACACAUCGACUUCUCAUCGACAAGGUAGAGGAGGACGGCCACAGGGAGGAUGGUUGAAAACAGGUUGGUCAUGAGGAGCUGCUCACGUCGCCGUCCGGAGUGGGGAGCCGGGAGUGGGCGCACAAGACGAGUAGGCCAUCCAGUCCAGUCUCGAGCUCGUCGUCCAGCCCCGUGAAAGAGCUCUGUCACGGGCAAGGGCGAGGCUUCUUGAACAACAGGCACUUCCGGCCUCGACGUUCUUGUUUCGAUCCUGGCCGGCCAAGCGCGAGCACUUCUCCCGAUUCAGAAUAAACUCUAGAUGGGGAUCGAUGUGGUAAUCUUGAUCUUCAGCCUGCUGCCAGCCCUAACCUACGGUGACACGGAAAUGGAAGCAAGUAGGCGUCCACCUAGGCGCUUCAGUCCAUGAACGCCCAGCUGCAAAGCCACCGUCUCCCAUCGGCUUCUCGCUCUAGGGCUCGAGGCCUGCAAUGACUUGCUGCCGACAACGGGUCGCUGACGCGGACCAAGAGUCGCCUUCCAGGCCCUCCACCAGCACGUCGCAGCAACCCCCUCAAUUCCGGUUAUGCUCCACCGAGAGCAAUACCACCACAGUACAAGAAGAUAUACGGGGAUAAAUCUUUGCCAGUGGCAGCGGUGGCCUCUUCUUGGUCUUAAUGUUGUAGCAUUUAUCCUCUGUCCAAGUAAGAAGAACAGAUCAAGCGCCACCAUGGUGCUGUCAUUGUGGAGCGCUGAGUACGCAAGCCCUGCCGUGGCACCGUACGAGCCGAGCUUCUU